rnacentral:rRNA from 1 species
AACGAACGCUGGCGGCGUGGAUAAGACAUGCAAGUCGAACGGAAUUACUUUUGUAGCAAUACAGAAGUAAUUCAGUGGCGAACGGGUGCGUAACACGUGGGCAAUCUGCCGAGAAGUGGGGGAUAGCUCGCCGAAAGGCGAAUUAAUACCGCAUGUGGUGAGGGAAGACAUCUUCCUGAAUCCAAAGCCGGGGUAACCUGGCGCUUUUUGAGGAGCCCGCGGCCUAUCAGCUUGNGGUGAGGUAACGGCUCACCAAGGCUUUGACGGGUAGCUGGUCUGAGAGGACGACCAGUCACACUGGAACUGAGACACGGUCCAGACACCUACGGGUGGCAGCAGUCGAGAAUUUUUCUCAAUGGGGGAAACCCUGAAGGAGCGACGCCGCGUGGAGGAUGAAGG